GAUGUUUCCUUCCCUGCGAGGCACCAAAACAAUUCUCUUCCCUUUGAUGCUAAGAGAAUAAGUAUUCUUCCGCCCAUCAUGGAUAACACUGCGAUCAUACUGCCAAGGUCGUCCCAACAAAACAUGACACGCGUCCAUUGAUACCACAUCACACCAAGCAUUAUCAAAAUAUUUUUUUCCAAUCGAGAAAGACACUAAGCAUCGUUUUUCUACCGUUACCUCACUGCCUUUAUUCAGCCAAGACAACUUGUAUGGUUUGGGAUGACGAUCCAUCUUCAGUUGCAGUUUCUCGAUAGCCUCCUCAGACACUACAUUCUCACAACUGCCACUAUCAAUU
rnacentral:lncRNA from 1 species